rnacentral:rRNA from 1 species
CCUACGGGUGGCAGCAGUGGGGAAUAUUGGACAAUGGGCGAAAGCCUGAUCCAGCCAUGCCGCGUGUGUGAAGAAGGCCUUCGGGUUGUAAAGCACUUUCAGUGGGGAAGAAAGCCUUGGGGCUAAUACCCUCGAGGAAGGACAUCACCCACAGAAGAAGCACCGGCUAACUCCGUGCCAGCAGCCGCGGUAAUACGGAGGGUGCGAGCGUUAAUCAGAAUUACUGGGCGUAAAGCGCGCGUAGGCGGUCUGAUAAGCCGGUUGUGAAAGCCCCGGGCUCAACCUGGGAACGGCAUCCGGAACUGUCAGGCUAGAGUGCAGGAGAGGAAGGUAGAAUUCCCGGUGUAGCGGUGAAAUGCGUAGAGAUCGGGAGGAAUACCAGUGGCGAAGGCGGCCUUCUGGACUGACACUGACGCUGAGGUGCGAAAGCGUGGGUAGCAAACAGGAUUAGAUACCCUAGUAGUC